rnacentral:rRNA from 1 species
AUGCUUGCUGCUCGCUCAGUGUCAGUAGAAGGGAAGAAAAGAUGGUCACUCCUUUUAGGAACAUGGCAAGCCUUACUUACGACUGUUGCACUUCACUCGCUGCUCGUUCAUUCACUUGCUCUUGAACUCGCUGCUUCGCCAGAAGCGACUAGUCGCCUCCUUUCCUCCGCCGAAAGAUGCUUAGCCAGAAGCGACGAAGGAGGGGAGCUGGGGAAGGCCGACGAUGGCAAUGAGGGGGAAGCUGUCGUAGAAGCUUUGCCCCUUGCUUUACAUAAAUGGAUUGUUAUGAACUUACUAAAUGACCUUAUUUAUUCUCCCGGAACGCUAGCAAAUCUAAUAGUUCCAUCUGCUCUUCUUAACUUAAGAACGAAGGCCGCCAUCCUUCUUAUUCAGGAACCCUUUGUUUGA